CUACGUAUACACAAAAUCAGAUCCUGAAAAUUAGGAAUUAUUUAUGAAUACAGCCUAAACAUAACAGCUAUAGGACCAGAGACGGAUUUUUGGGGGGCUGGGCUGGGCUGUAGCCCCCCCCCCAACUCAGGCCCAAGAACAUUAUUUUUAAGGUAUUUUUUAUUUUUUUGGUAAAAAACCAAUUUUUUAUGUGUAAAUUUUUUUUCCGCAUAGUAGUCCGAUUUGAGAUUUUGUAGUCCAAUUUUGAAUCUAAUUCUGGAUCUGUCCUUGUAUAGGACCAACAACACAGCUACUUUCUUUCACUCAAGUAGAUUCUAUUUUUGGUAAAAAUAGCCACUCUACUUCUUCAAUAACAGACCUGUGUUUUUCUUUGUAAGGUGUCAACAGAAAAUUUCAAAACUUGCAAGUAGCUUCUCUUGUUCCAAUGAUCUAUGGUUUCUGCUCUAUUUAAUUCAAAUAUUCAUCUCAUUACUUCCCCUCAAGAUGGAGAUGCAAUUGAAUAAAUCCCCAUCUUGCCUGAGAGAUAUUGGAACUUCUUUGAACCAAUUGCCUUCGUCAUCAUAUCUGCAGCUUGUAAAUUUGUUCAUAUGUGAAAUGUCUUUAUCGAACCGACCUUUAUUUUCUCCCUCACAAUGUGACAAUCAAUCUCUAUGUGUUUUGUUCUCUCAUAAUAACCUGAAUUUGAAGCAAUAUGAACAGCUGCUUGAUUAUCACAGAAUAAU
rnacentral:lncRNA from 1 species